rnacentral:rRNA from 1 species
GACGUACCACCCGAACGUUAUUCGGAUUUACUGGGCUUAAAGAGUCCGUAGGCGGCCAAGUAAGUUGGAUGUGAAAUACCUCGGCCUAACCGAGGGACAGCAUUCAAAACUACUUGGCUCGAGAGAGACAGAGGUGAGCGGAACUGAUGGUGGAGCGGUGAAAUGCGUUGAUAUCAUCAGGAACACCGGUGGCGAAAGCGGCUCACUGGGUCUCUUCUGACGCUCAGGGACGAAAGCUAGGGGAGCGAACGGG